rnacentral:rRNA from 1 species
GUGGGGAAUCUUGCGCAAUGGGCGAAAGCCUGACGCAGCCAUGCCGCGUGAAUGAUGAAGGUCUUAGGAUUGUAAAAUUCUUUCACCGGGGACGAUAAUGACGGUACCCGGAGAAGAAGCUCCGGCUAACUUCGUGCCAGCAGCCGCGGUAAUACGAAGGGGGCUAGCGUUGCUCGGAAUUACUGGGCGUAAAGGGCGCGUAGGCGGACAGCUUAGUCAGAGGUGAAAGCCCAGGGCUCAACCUUGGAAUUGCCUUUGAUACUGGCUGUCUUGAGUUUGGGAGAAGUGAGUGGAACUCCGAGUGUAGAGGUGAAAUUCGUAGAUAUUCGGAAGAGCACCAGUGGCGAAGGCGACUCACUGGCCCAAUACUGACGCUGAGGCGCGAAAGCGUGGGGAGCAAACAGGAUUAGAAACCCGAGUAGUCC